rnacentral:sRNA from 1 species
UGAAAGUGAAGUUUCAAUUCAAUUGAUUAAAAAUGGUAGGCGGCGAGCAAAAUGGACGUUUUUCCAAAAGGUUUCAGCAAAAAAUUAAAGAAGUCGACAGAAUACAAUCCAGAGGGCAGAAACUGUGAAUAAACGCCAUUUGCCCCGCCAUUUUGCCGCUCUUAUUGCGCUCAUAAGACCCCAUUGGCAUUAACACUAAAUUUCAACUAAGCGAUCUUCAAUAUAUUAUAAUAAUCCGCCAAGAAACCAACCGACAAAUGUGCACCGCAUUCAAAUGGAACACAAUCUUUUUAAUACAAGUACCCCAGAGCCGAAAACAACCCAGUCCCGUAGACAUCCACCCAACCUUCCACCCCGAGGUUGGUAGUUUCAGCCCGGCUACUUAGUGCUCCCUCGGAUGCCGGGGACAAGGGCUGAAGGAACGACUAGGACUAGAACUGAGACUGAAACACGUUGCCAACAUUGCAAAUUUUUGUUGAUUUAAUAAAAUUGCACCCACGAGACUAAUUUA